AGAGUUUGAUCUGGCUCAGGAUGAACGCUAGCGACAGGCUUAACACAUGCAAGUCGAGGGGUAACAGGGUGUAGCAAUACACCGCUGACGACCGGCGCACGGGUGAGUAACGCGUAUGCAACCUGCCUUUGACAGAGGGAUAGCCCAUGGAAACGUGGAUUAAUACCUCAUAGUCUCUUUUUCCUUCCUGGGGAAUAGAGUAAAACGAGAGUGGUCAAAGAUGGGCAUGCGUCCUAUUAGGCAGUUGGCGGGGUAACGGCCCACCAAACCGAUGAUAGGUAGGGGUUCUGAGAGGAAGGUCCCCCACACUGGUACUGAGACACGGACCAGACUCCUACGGGAGGCAGCAGUGAGGAAUAUUGGUCAAUGGUCGAGAGACUGAACCAGCCAAGUCGCGUGAGGGAUGACUGCCCUAUGGGUUGUAAACCUCUUUUCUACUGGGAGAAUAAGCCCUAUGUAUAGGGUGAUGACAGUACAGUAGGAAUAAGCAUCGGCUAACUCCGUGCCAGCAGCCGCGGUAAUACGGAGGAUGCGAGCGUUAUCCGGAUUUAUUGGGUUUAAAGGGUGCGUAGGCGGCCUUUUAAGUCAGCGGUGAAAGUCUGUGGCUCAACCAUAGAAUUGCCGUUGAAACUGGGGGGCUUGAGUAUGUUUGAGGCAGGCGGAAUGCGUGGUGUAGCGGUGAAAUGCAUAGAUAUCACGCAGAACCCCGAUUGCGAAGGCAGCCUGCCAAGCCAUUACUGACGCUGAUGCACGAAAGCGUGGGGAUCAAACAGGAUUAGAUACCCUGGUAGUCCACGCAGUAAACGAUGAUCACUAGCUGUCUGCGAUACACUGUAAGCGGCACAGCGAAAGCGUUAAGUGAUCCACCUGGGGAGUACGCCGGCAACGGUGAAACUCAAAGGAAUUGACGGGGGCCCGCACAAGCGGAGGAACAUGUGGUUUAAUUCGAUGAUACGCGAGGAACCUUACCCGGGUUUGAACGCAUUCGGACCGAGGUGGAAACACCUUUUCUAGCAAUAGCCGUUUGCGAGGUGCUGCAUGGUUGUCGUCAGCUCGUGCCGUGAGGUGUCGGCUUAAGUGCCAUAACGAGCGCAACCCUUGCCACUAGUUACUAACAGGUAAAGCUGAGGACUCUGGUGGGACUGCCAGCGUAAGCUGCGAGGAAGGCGGGGAUGACGUCAAAUCAGCACGGCCCUUACAUCCGGGGCGACACACGUGUUACAAUGGCGUGGACAAAGGGAGGCCACCUGGCGACAGGGAGCGAAUCCCCAAACCACGUCUCAGUUCGGAUCGGAGUCUGCAACCCGACUCCGUGAAGCUGGAUUCGCUAGUAAUCGCGCAUCAGCCAUGGCGCGGUGAAUACGUUCCCGGGCCUUGUACUCACCGCCCGUCAAG
rnacentral:rRNA from 1 species